rnacentral:misc_RNA from 1 species
AACCUAGCACACCUGCGGUGUGUACCUGCGGAAGGAUCAUUAACAAGCUGUGGGAGAUCGAUCAAUUUGAUCUCACACCUGGCCAACCUUGUUAACCUUAAAUAUAUUGCUUUGGUGAGCCCUGCUCACCAAAGUCAAACCCUAAACUCUUGAUUGUUUCUGCUGUCUGAGCAUGCAAGUGCAAAAUUUAGUUAAAAACUUUUAACAAUGGAUCU